CACAUCUGACUCCCUCUCAGCUGUGCACAGCAGUGAUCAGCUGGGGAUUUUCCUUGGUGUAUCAAUUAGUAUAAGACAAGCUGCUGUCACAAACCCACCCAACAAAAACCCAGAAGAUAGAAAUUGAAUUCUCUCUCCUCAAACCAGGGGAAAGGAGGAGAGACUACAGAGAGCUUACUCAUGUUGGAGGGAGGAAGAGAGGCUGCAGAAUGUGGAAGCCAGUUCUCCUGAUUCAAUGAGUCUGUUUCUGGCACAGCCAGCUGGGCUGCCUUUGGCUGAAAGCCCAGCAGAGUCAGAAAGAAAUCUGAGGCUGUCAAGGAAGCCUAAGGGUGAGUCUUCAAUGCUGGGCCCAGAGGGAGCAUAACCUCCACCUGGCCUUGUCUGGUUCAUCUACAGCCUGCAGGAAGGAGAGAGAGAAAAUGUGAAUAUGAGAACUCUACCCUGCUGCAUGCUAACCUCGCAGCUCUGUCUUGGGAAAGUGGAAUGCAAAGAACUGGAUGGAAUCUCCAUCAUCCCAGGGUGCCCUUCUGCCAAGACCUUGGAUGUCUGUCCUUCCAGUGGAGUAGCACCGCCACCACCUGCCUCCAGUUGAAGGUCAUGAACUUUCUCUGAAAUCAGGAUGGGCUACAUAAUUUGCAGAGCCCGGUGCAAAUAAAAAUGCAGGGCACUUGUUCAAGAAAUAUUAAGAAUGAAUUAAGGCAUAGGCAGACUGCUAAGCAUGUGCUCUGCCUGACUGCACAGGUGGCGUUCCCAUGAAGCUGAUCCUGCCUGAAACUGUCCUCCAGGGGAGUCCUGUUAAGAUGUAGAAGACAGUGUGCAAAACUCUGCAAGGGAAAUAGCUGUCAUUUUGGAAGCCAUCAGGAUCUUUUAGUGAAGUCAAGCUGAACCAUGGAGGUCAUCACAGUUCCUGACAGGUUGAGAAGCUCUGAUUUAUCCCCUCUAGAGUAGGAACUAAGGACUUGAGGGGCUGCAGAGCCAGCAGGUAACUCAGAAGGCCAGGGUGCAAAUCCUCCCUCUGUCUCUGAUGAGCUGAAUGACCUCAGCUCAUCAGGGACAGAGGGAGGAUUUGAGUUUGUUGAAUAGCUUCUCUGUGCCUCAGUGUCAUUGAGAUAAGGUGCCUACUUCACAGGAUUGCUUGGAGGAUUAACCCUAAAACUAUGGAGAGGCCAAGGACAUUUCCUGGCACAUAAUUUUGGAUAGUCUUGGCUGAUGUUAAGCAUCUUUUCUUUGAGCUUUGGUUUCUUUCCUAGGAGAACAUAAUGGGGAAAGGUAGAGGGCAAAGAUGGAUCUAGAGUCAGGAGUCCCGGUUUCUCCACUACUAACCACCUGCUUACCAAGCCAAGUCACUCUCCCACUCAAUCUCACUUCUAACAUUUAAGGAAGGUAGGGUGAAGUAUGACUUUCCUUCCAGCUUUAUAAUUCUGUUUCCAAGGAAUUCCACCUGUUCCUCUCAUUGGCUUAUCCCAGUGUAUUAGUCUGUUUUCAUGUUGCUGAUAAAGACAUACCCGAGAUUGGGCAAUUUACAAAAGAAACAGGUUUAAUUGGACUUAGAGUUCCACGUGUCUGGGUAAGCCUCACAAUCAUGGUGGAAGGCAAGGAGGAGCAAGUCACAUCUUACGUGGACAGUGGCAGGCAAACAGAGAGAGCUAGUUCAGGCAAACUCCUGUUUUUUUAAAACCAUCAGAUUUUGUGAGACUCAUUCACUAUCAUGAGAACAGCACAGGAAAGACCCGCCCCCGUAAUCCUGCUGGGUUCCUCCCAUGACAGGUGGGAAUUGUGGUAGUUACAAUUCAACAUGAGAUUUGGGUGAGGACACAGCCAAACCAUAUCACCUGGCAUCUAUUUUCUCUGAGGUUUAAGAAAUUCCUCCUCUUAUCUGACUGCAAAUCUUUCUCAUUAAAGUCCACUUCUUUUUCUGCCCUUUGUGUUAAAACAGGUC